rnacentral:ncRNA from 1 species
CACGAUAAUGGCAAACCUAUCGAAAGGUAGGGACGCAAAGCUAAAGGGCCUUCUGAAGAUGGCAGCCAGCUACCGAAG